rnacentral:snRNA from 1 species
GGAUGUGAGGGCAAUCUGGCUGCGACAUCUGUCCACUCAUUUAUUGCCAUGGUUGAUUUGGCAAAUCUGGCUGGUGAGGCAGGUGUCCCCUUCCUCCCUCAGUGCUCCACGUGUGUCCCUCCCACUGGGUUGAGGAGGAUGACCACCCCUGAUAGAGGAGGGCUGUUCCUCGAUCAAGGGUAUACAGGUAGCUGUGCUCUUCUGCUAGAACCUGCAAACAAGCUCUCAAGAAAUAAUGACAGAAAAAUUCCCAAGCAUGGAUAAAAAUUUGACAUACAAAUAAAUGAAGCAUGU